GGUCUCAAGACAUCGCCCCGGACGACCACCACGACGACGGCAGCUCCCGCAAUGGAGCCGAUCCUUGAAAGCACGUGCGAUAUGGGGCGCCCGUCUCGCAUCCGCCGCGUGAUCGGCGGACAGCGCUCGCAGCUGGAGGCAUGGCCGUGGCAGGUGGCCAUACGUCAUUUCACGGGGCUGUACAUGUGUGGGGGCGUGGUCAUCCGUGACCGAUGGGUGCUGACGGCGGCUCACUUUUUCCAGGGGUAUUCCAGACAAACGGAUGCAAGCCAUCUGUGCGUGUAUCCGGGGACCAGACGUUGUCCUUCGAACGGAAUGGCCGCUCCAAGACGAAGAACAUCCGGCGCAUUAUAUAGCACGAUGUUUUCCGAUCCAAUAUUGCGGAGAACGUAACCGACCCGCGAACCGGACUGGCGUCACUUAUACGACGUCAUCACCAUGACAUCGCCACGACAUCGCCCUUGUAGAGCUUGAAGAACCCCUCGUGUUCAACGAGCGGUUGAGCCCCGCAUGCCUAACAAAUCCAAACCAGGUGACAGCGCCCCUGGCUCCUAAUAGCUGCUGGGUGUACGGCUGGGGCGAGGAAAACAGUACGUACACGAGAUUGACAGUAUGAUCCAUGUGUACUGAGUGACAACUGUGACCUAUUUAAUACUUGGUCAUGUUUUUCCUUUACUUGCGUGAGGUAAAUGGGGACAUGCUGCCUAGCAACGAGUGCUCGCGGAGAUGGGACGCCAACUUUACAGACGAUGUCGUCUGCUUCACGAGCGGUGACCGUGGACCGUGAAAGGGAGACUCCGGAGGCGGUGUGACGUGCACGUACGGAGAUGACGUCUCUGUGCUCGAGGGGAUCAUCUCUUGGGGCCGCGAUGAUUGUAUCCACGACGACUAUCCUAGCGUCAUGAAGCGCGUCACAUCAUUCAUAGAGUGGAUCAACUCUUUUAUUAACCAGUGAUUUACUGUUUUCGCUUUCGUAAACUUCUACUUACAAGCAAUGUUUUAAUCAGGGAAUACUUUUUUUUAACAAAAACGAUAGUUUAAUGGUAACAUGAACUUCCGGAAUGUUAUGAUUUUUCAUUUUAUGAAAUUUUGAUUUCAAGUCAAAUUUAGCGGAAAAGGUGACUGAAUAUAAUUUUAACUCUCAAAAUUAAUCAACACAUUGAUGUAAUAUAAACAUGUAUACAUGUUUUAGUGUUUGAAAACAAAGUGACUUAAAAAUAUUGAUUUA